rnacentral:tRNA from 1 species
GAGCCAUUAGCUCAGUCGGUAGAGCACCUGACUUUUAAUCAGGGUGUCGAUGGUUCGAGUCCAUCAUGGCUCA